GUUGAACUAGUUCCCUUGUCAAAAAGCCACAUCUUUCAAUUGGAUUUUUGUAUUAUUGAAGAAAAUAAACUCUGGUUGCUAAGCAAUUUAUUGUUAUAUAAGUUAUUUUGACAUAUAAAACCAGUUUGUUAGUUAGCUGUUUAGCUCGCACAUGAAAAUAAAUGAACGUUUAAGCUUUUAUCAACAUGGAGAUGCUACACAUCGUUAGCUUGGUUGAUUUCAUGAGCACCAGAGAAGACUGGAAGUCAUUUACAUAUACUUGCAUGACGAAAAAGUGGUGUCUCCUUUCUUAUGAAGCUGUCAUAAAGUCAGCACAUGUGUCCAUUCCUCAAUUACGCGACUGGUUGCACACCAGAGCCUCCUCAUCUCCUGCAUGGUGUGAUUGGACCUUUUGUCUCGUGGUUGAAUGCAUUAACAAACUCCAGGGAUUUGGUGUUCUACAUGUACAAAACAGGCACCUGAUGACCUGUGCUAACAAAAGUGUCUGGUGUAAACAUCCUUUAGGCAGGGCAGAGCAGCACCUAUAGUAUGUUCAGCUGUACGAACCACUCUAUCAAGGCCUUGUGGUCCUGUUCGGUGCUGUUUCCACACCAGACCAUGAUGUUACCCAUCAGGACACUCUCAAUGGUGCAGGAGAAGAAUUUCCUUAGGCAUCUCAGGUAAAACAGUAUCUGCCUUGCCUUUCUCACCACUGAGUCAGUAUGCAACACCCACAUCAGGCCCUCAGCAAUGUGGACACCAAAGUAUUAGAAGCUGUUCACCCUCCCCACCAAGGACCUGGUGAUAUUAAGGAGGGCAGAGUAUAAACCCUUCUUUCCAAAGUCCUCUAUCAUCUCAAGUUGUUGUCCUGACACCAGCAGGCCAAGUCCUCUAUUUCUUUUGGGUCAUCCUUUUCAUUGUUAUCUGUGAUCAGGCC